UGAGCCCAUGAGGUUGAGGCUGCAGUGAGCCAUGAUCAUGCCACUGCACUCCAGCCUGGG
rnacentral:miRNA from 1 species